rnacentral:lncRNA from 1 species
GGGGAGGUGAAAAGCAAGUAGGGUGGGGGGACCCUUGAAACUCUCACUUGCCCAUCUUUGUCCACUCAGUUGGAUAAUCAGAAACUGGUGCCUCAGCCUCGUGUGCCCCCGGUCAUCGUCCUGGAGAACCAAGGUCUCCGCUGGGUCCCUAAGGAUAAGAACUUGUGAGUACCCCACUCCCUCUACCUCUUCUUAGAAGCCCAAGGCUCCUGGGUCUCCUCUGUCCUUGGCCCUGCCCCAAGGGUCUUUCUCUAGACCCAAUCUCUGUUAAGUCUGUGUCUGGACCCACUACUUGCUGUUUGACCUCCAUGGGGGUUACUAUUUCAGAGUGAUGUGGAGGGACUGGGAAGAGUCACGGCAGAUGGUGGGAGCUCUACUGGAAGAUCGGGCCCACCAGCACCUUGUGGACUUUGACUGCCACCUUGAUGACAUCCGGCAGGACUGGACCAACCAGCGGCUCAACACUCAAAUCACCCAGUGGGUUGGUCCCACUAAUGGAAAUGGAAAUGCCUGAGCCAGGGCCAGCGGGGCCCGGUUCCAAUAAAGAGACUUGGGCUGA